UGUAUAGUAUAAAUUUCAGAUUUUCCUUAUAAAGGACAGACAGGAAGAGGAAUUCAAAUCAGUUUAGAAGCCCAAUUAGACUGAAGAUAUGACUGCUGGACAAUUUUGAAGAACAUUUCUUAGCUGCUAUAAAGGGAAUAACUUUUUCUUCAAUAAAAAAAGGUAAAGAUUGGGAACAACAUUAAGUGCAAAGGCACAAAAGUGGUCUGCAAGAAAGCAAGGGGGAUGGCCCACCUUCCUGCCACUUGUCCCUGGAGAAAAUGCUAACAAGAACUACAGGUGACAGUGGCCAGGAGUGGGCCUGGCUGUGUUGGUGUGAUGGGAUGGGACAACAUGGCCAAGCAGGACACAGGGUCCUUAGGCAGUUUGUGUGUCUGUUCUCCUCUGGGGAGGUGAGAGACAAUGGAAGAAGGAAAAGCUACUUCAUGUCUACCAGGACAAAAGCCUGCAUGCCAGCCAUGGCCCUGCAGAGAGAGACUGAGAUGUUGGGGCUGUGCAGCCUGGAGAAGGUAAGGUUUUGUGGAGGCCCUGCAACAACCUUCCAGUAUUUGAAGUGGGUCUACAGGGAAGCUGAAGAAGGAUCCUUUGUCAGGAACUGUAGUGACAGGACAAAGACUAAUGGGUACAAAUUGAAAGAGGGGAAAUUUAAGUUAGAGGUUAGACAGAAAUUCCCUACUGUGAGGAUGGUGAGACACUGGAACAGGUUGCCUGGGAGGUUGUGGAUGCCUUAACCCUGACAGUGUUCAAUGCCAGGUUGGAUAAGAAGCA
rnacentral:lncRNA from 1 species